rnacentral:rRNA from 1 species
GACAGAGGGUGCAAACGUUGUUCGGAAUUACUGGGCGUAAAGCGUGUGUAGGCGGCCAUUCAAGUCGGAUGUGAAAGCCCCGGGCUCAACCCGGGAAGUGCACCCGAAACUGGAUGGCUUGAGUAUCGGAGAGGUUGGUGGAAUUCUCGGUGUAGAGGUGAAAUUCGUAGAUAUCGAGAGGAACACCGGUGGCGAAGGCGGCUCACUGGCUCGUAACUGACGCUCAGGCGCGACAGCGUGGGGAUCAAACAGG